AAGUCGUAACAAGGUUUCCGUAGGUGAACCUGCGGAAGGAUCAUUAACGAAGUUUUGUCUGAAAAGACAUUCUUUCAACUAAACACCUGUGAAUUAUUUACAUCAUUUUGCUUUGGUCAAAUUUAUUUGGCCAAAAGUUUAAAUUAAAACCUUUUAUUUUAACCUUGAUAGUCUGAAAUUGAAAAUAUUUUAAUUAUUUAAAACUUUCAACAAUGGAUCUCUUGGUUCUCGCAUCGAUGAAGAACGCAGCGAAUUGCGAUAAGUAAUGUGAAUUGCAGAAUUUUGUGAAUCAUCGAAUCUUUGAACGCACAUUGCGCCCUUUGGUAUUCCAAAGGGCAUACCUGUUUGAGCGUCAUUACAACUCUUAAAUCAAAUUUUUGAUUUAGUAUUGAGCCAUAUUUUUCGAAAGCAAUUUUGAAAAUGGUUUGAAAUUGAUAGGGCUGAAGCAAUUCCAGUAUUUGGAGGCUUUGAUUACAACGUAAUAGGUUUACCAACUCGUUGGCUUAUAUCGAAGNUCUUUCUUUGGAAUUUUCGCUUUUGCGUUAUAAAAUGACACUUUAAAGUUUGACCUCAAAUCAGGCAGGAUUACCCGCUGAACUUAAGCAUAUCAAUAAGCGGAGGAAAAGAAACCAACUGGGAUUGCCUUAGUAACGGCGAGUGAAGCGGCAAAAGCUCAAAUUUGAAAUCUGGCGUCUUCGGCGUCCGAGUUGUAAUUUGAAGAAGGUAACUUUUGGAUUGGCUCUUGCAUAAGUUCCUUGGAACAGGACGUCAUAGAGGGUGAGAAUCCCGUUUAUGGUGAGAUGCCCANUCCUCUGUAAAGUGCUUUCGAAGAGUCGAGUUGUUUGGGAAUGCAGCUCUAAGUGGGUGGUAAAUUCCAUCUAAAGCUAAAUAUUGGCGAGAGACCGAUAGCGAACAAGUACAGUGAUGGAAAGAUGAAAAGAACUUUGAAAAGAGAGUGAAAAAGUACGUGAAAUUGUUGAAAGGGAAGGGCUUGAAAUCAGACUUGGUAUUCGACGAUCAAUUUUCCUUCGGGGAUGUGCACUCGUCGUUUACUGGGCCAACAUCGAUUUGGACGGUGAGAUAAUGACAAUUGAAUGUGGCUUGUUCUUCGGUUCAAGUGUUAUAGCCUUUGUUGAUAUCACCAGUCUGGAUCGAGGUCUGCGCAUUUUGCUAGGAUGUUGGCGUAAUGAUUUUAAGCCACC
rnacentral:rRNA from 1 species